AUGGUUGGGGCUGGAUAGAAGGUUCAGUGAUUAAGAGCACUGGCUUCUCUUCCAGAGGACCCAAGUUCAAUUCCCAGCAUCAUAUGGCAGUUCUCAACUGUCUAUAAUUCAGCUCCAAGUGAUUUGACACCCUCAUAUAGACAUAAAUGCAGGCAAAACACCAAUGCACAUAAAAGUAAAUAAAUCAUUU